AGCAGUAGCCGCGGUAAUACGAAGGGGGCUAGCGUUGUUCGGAAUUACUGGGCGUAAAGCGCACGUAGGCGGACAUUUAAGUCAGGGGUGAAAUCCCGGGGCUCAACCCCGGAACUGCCUUUGAUACUGGGUGUCUAGAGUAUGGAAGAGGUGAGUGGAAUUCCGAGUGUAGAGGUGAAAUUCGUAGAUAUUCGGAGGAACACCAGUGGCGAAGGCGGCUCACUGGUCCAUUACUGACGCUGAGGUGCGAAAGCGUGGGGAGCAAACAGGAUUAGAUACCCCAGUAGUCCCUGUCUCUUAUAC
rnacentral:rRNA from 1 species